AAUCAACGCUGGCGGCGUGCCUCAGACAUGCAAGUCGAACGAUUAAAGCUCUCUUCGGAGAGUGCAUAAAGUGGCGCACGGGUGAGUAACACGUAAGUAAUCUACCUUCGAGUGGGGAAUAACGUCCGGAACGGACGCUAAUACCGCAUAACGCAGCGGCAUCGCAAGAUGACAGCUGUUAAAGAUUUAUCGCUUGAAGAGGAGCUUGCGGCAGAUUAGCUUGUUGGUAAGGUAACGGCUUACCAAGGCUACGAUCUGUAUCCGGUCUAAGAGGACGGUCGGACACACUGACACUGAAUAACGGGUCAGACUCCUACGGGAGGCAGCAGUCGGGAAUUUUGGG
rnacentral:rRNA from 1 species